rnacentral:rRNA from 1 species
UACGAAGGGUGCAAACGUUGCUCGGAAUUAUUGGGCGUAAAGCGCACGUAGGCGGCUUAGCAAGUCGGAAGUGAAAGCCCUCGGCUCAACCAAGGAAGUGCUUUCGAAACUGCUGAGCUUGAGUAGUUAAGAGGAUCGCGGAAUUCCCGGUGUAGAGGUGAAAUUCGUAGAUAUCGGGAGGAACACCUGUGGCGAAAGCGGCUCACUGGACCACAACUGACGCUGAGGCGCGAAAGCUAGGGGAGCAACAGG